CCUACGGGUGGCAGCAGUGGGGGAUAUUGCACAAUGGGGGAAACCCUGAUGCAGCGACGCCGCGUGAGUGAAGAAGUAUUUCGGUAUGUAAAGCUCUAUCAGCAGGGAAGAAAAUGACAGUACCUGACCAAGAAGCCCCGGCUAACUACGUGCCAGCAGCCGCGGUAAUACGUAGGGGGCAAGCGUUAUCCGGAUUUACUGGGUGUAAAGAGUUCGUAGGCGGCACGUAAAGUCUGGUGUUAAAGGCAGAGGCUCAACUUCUGUACGGCACUGGAUACUUGCGAGCUAGAAUGCGGUAGGGGUAAAGGGAAUUCCUGGGGUAGCGGUGAAAUGCUUAGAUAUCAGGAGGAACAUCGGUGGCGUAGGCGCUUUACUGGGCCGUAAUUGACGCUGAGGAACGAAAGCCAGGGUAGCAAAUGGGAUUAGAUACCCCAGUAGUC
rnacentral:rRNA from 1 species